AGUGAACGCUGGCGGUAGGCCUAACACAUGCAAGUCGAACGGCAGCACAGUAAGAGCUUGCUCUUACGGGUGGCGAGUGGCGGACGGGUGAGGAAUACAUCGGAAUCUACUUUUUCGUGGGGGAUAACGUAGGGAAACUUACGCUAAUACCGCAUACGACCUACGGGUGAAAGCAGAGGAUCUUCGGACCUUGCGCGACUGAAUGAGCCGAUGUCGGAUUAGCUAGUUGGCGGGGUAAAGGCCCACCAAGGCGACGAUCCGUAGCUGGUCUGAGAGGAUGAUCAGCCACACUGGAACUGAGACACGGUCCAGACUCCUACGGGAGGCAGCAGUGGGGAAUAUUGGACAAUGGGCGCAAGCCUGAUCCAGCCAUACCGCGUGGGUGAAGAAGGCCUUCGGGUUGUAAAGCCCUUUUGUUGGGAAAGAAAAGCAGCAGGUUAAUACCCCGCUGUUCUGACGGUACCCAAAGAAUAAGCACCGGCUAACUUCGUG
rnacentral:rRNA from 1 species